GGGGUGCCCUUCAUCAUCUUGUGAGCAUCUGGGCCAAGUUCAGGGCUGGUGCUCUCGUUCAGAUAGAUUUAGCUGGUGGUGCAGAGAUCCGUGAGCUUGCUUUUACAGGACUUUAAUGAUAUAUAAAAGCAGCACGAGGUGCUCCUGACUGUGGAUUAAUUUGGAGAUGACUUUCUCUGUUGAAGAGUAGCAAGACUCUCGCGAGUUCUUAAAAAUGCACUUGUUUGGUAUGAGAAUGAAAAGCAGUGGCUGAAGAACCAAUCUUCAAUGGGCAAGCCUUCUCUGAACUGGUUGCUGCCUCGUUGAGUCGGUGGGGACAGAAUAGCUCCUGGUUGACAGCAUGGGUUGUGCAGAAGGACGGAUCCUGCAGACAUCAAUAUCUGGCUUUGAGUGGCACAAAGAAAUAAAGGAAUGUGGAUUCAGACCUCACUGGGAUGCUUGGCAAUUCUAAUUCUACCCCAGACUGCAAAUGGACACACAACUGUUGUGACUUUUGUUGAAGAGGAGAAG
rnacentral:lncRNA from 1 species